rnacentral:tRNA from 1 species
GCCUGGGUGGCUCAGUCGGUUGAGCCUCCGACUUCAGCUCAGGUCAUGAUCUCGGAGUUCGUGGGUUCGAGCCCCGCCUCGGGCU